rnacentral:rRNA from 1 species
UACAGAGGGUGCAAGCGUUAAUCGGAAUUACUGGGCGUAAAGCGCGCGUGGGCCGUCGAGUAAGUCGGAUGUGAAAUCCCCGGGCUUAACCUGGGAAUUGCAUUCGAUACUGCUUGACUAGAGUGUGGAAGAGGGAAGCGGAAUUUCCGGUGUAGCGGUGAAAUGCGUAGAUAUCGGAAGGAACACCAGUGGCGAAGGCGGCUUCCUGGUCCAACACUGACGCUGAGGCGCGAAAGCGUGGGGAGCGAACAGG